rnacentral:lncRNA from 1 species
AUUCUCCUUCUGCCGCCUCGUGAGGAAGGUUUCAUGCUUCUCCUUUGCCUUCUGCCAUGACUGGAGAAACUCUCCACGGGUGCUGAGAUGUCUUUGACACCUCGCUGAGUAAGGUUGGCAGAGCUUCCUUCACAACAGCCGGAAACGGUUUCCAUUGAAAACCUUCCUCAGGCAGCAGGACAGAAAGCAGACUUGGGUGACACCUUUUGUUUCUCUGUGUUCACUUUCACCAUCACCUACUCUUCCGUGGCCAGUGAUGUUCCAGCAGGUGGCUGGGUCCUGCUGUGAGGACAACAUGGAGCAGAGCCCAGGC